UACGUAGGGUGCAGGCGUUAAUCGGAAUUACUGGGCGUAAAGCGUGCGCAGGCGGUUGUGCAAGACAGAGGUGAAAUCCCCGGGCUUAACCUGGGAAUGGCCUUUGUGACUGCACGGCUAGAGUGUGUCAGAGGGGGGUAGAAUUCCACGUGUAGCAGUGAAAUGCGUAGAGAUGUGGAGGAAUACCGAUGGCGAAGGCAGCCCCCUGGGAUAACACUGACGGCUCAGGCA
rnacentral:rRNA from 1 species